rfam:Camelus ferus unplaced genomic scaffold scaffold689, whole genome shotgun sequence.
GAGGGUAUAGCUCAAGUGGUAGAGCGCAUGCUUAGCAUGCAUGAGGUCGUGGGUUCAAUCCCCAUUACCUUCU